GUGAUUAAAUCGAGCGUGUCUUCAUUGACCGCUCACCCUUCUCACCAUCCACAUACACCUGUGCACUGUUUAGCCUGAGCCGGUUUUCCGGUCCAGGUUAUCAUUUCAUACAAACUAUAGUCUUAUGAAUGUAAACGUUUUAAUAACAUAAUA
rnacentral:misc_RNA from 1 species